AGGGAAGAGCUCCUUCUGAGAGAGACGAGCAGGAAAAAGCUCUGUCAAAUCCUGUGGAGAGAGAUUGGAGUUAGAAGAGGGUUGAGAGGGAAUGGCAUUCCUGACCGAAAGGAGACCUGAGCUUCUGAAUCUUGACUUGAGAAGACAGUCCCUGCCUUUCCUCCUGGUUGCAGACUUGCUAUCCUGACUUCUCCAGACCCACAUUGGCUCAGGCUGGAGUGGUGACAUCAGUUUGGAGUUCUUGCUGUUGCAGAGAACUUAGGGAGGCCUUGUCUGACCACUGGCCAGACUUCGGAACAGCCUGACCCCUAAAAGGCAAUUUGAGUGAAGAGCCACUUGUUUAGGAAAAGCUGCAAAGACCACACCCACCUGAGAAGCUAUAAGAAUGCUCCCAGCUGAGGGCAUGAGGACAUCGCCUUGCUGAAGAUGCUGAGGACAGAGCGGGGAGAGGAUACCGAGGUAUAAUAGGGCCCUGCUGGGUUUGUGCUGGGGUCAGGGCCGAAUCCCUGUGCUUCGAGGAGGUGAGUUCUGCUGACAAUCAUCAGGUGAAGAGGUUGAUCUAUUGGUCUGAAAAACAAGCUUGCAGAUAACUUGGCUCCGAGUUUCGCCACUUCCAUGCUGCCUGCCAGGAGCAAGCUGUUCCUUCUUAGGAACUCUGACCCAGAGAUGGAUGGAAAAAACCCUUGCUCUUAGUUUCUCUCACCACAGCUAAGUUAAAUCCUGUGUGAAGACUCCACUGGUGUUAAGAGAGAACAAGAGCGAAAUGACCGCAGAGGUUAUUAUGUAGUGCAUUUAUUUAAUCCCUCCUUUCUCCUCUCUAUCCCCGAACCACCUCUUACCACUUGCUUUGUCUCCCAUCUGGACUCCUGUAGCACUAAGCAAUUUGUUUGCCUAUAUCUACCUGUCCCCUCGUGCCAGCCUGCAGACCACAUCUGAUCUCUGUUUAAAAUUCAUCCAUGCCCUGGAGUUCCUGUCCUAGCUCAGCAGAAACGAAUCUGACUAGUAUCCAUGAGGACGAAGUUUCAAUCCCUGGCCUUGCUCAGUGUUGCUAUGAGCUGUGGUGCAGGUUGCAUAUGUGGCUUGGAUCUGACAUUGCUGUGCUGUAGGCUGGCAGCUACAGCUCCGAUUCAACCCUUAACCUGGGAACCUCUUUAUGCUGCAGGUGCAGCCCUAAAAAGGCAAAAAAUAAAUUGAUUCAUGCCCUUAGGAACUGACUUUCUAGACUCAUCUCCAGGUCGUCUCCCCAUGUGUCCUCAUGGCAUUUCCCCUCUUUAGACCUUGAGGUCCAGGACAGCAAGGUUACCUCCUUUAACUGAAUUUUCCGUAGCAUCUCUGGUAACACAGGGCACAUAGCAUGUGGGGCCUAGACGUCUGUGGAUUCUAGUUCCUUUGUUCACUGUCAUAAUCAGCACGGCCCUGGCUCCCUUUGCUGAUGGCCUGGCAGAACCAGCCACACAAAGUGUAAUCAACUAAAGGAAGAAAGUUUAUUCUGGAGGAGUAGAAUUUUAAUGUCUUUUUGCCUUUAAGAACAUGCAGUUUCUCUGGAGAAUUAAAUGUGCCAAAGAAAUCAAAAUUUCUUAAGUGUAGGCUAAAGAAAAACUACUUAUUAUUUUCCCCACCAAGUGAAAAUUGUGUCAUUUUUAUUUUCUUCAUGACUAGAAAAUGUCUCUCUAAUAAAACUCAUGUUUUUCUCAAAGUUUUUUUCUCCAAAAGGAUGAUUUCAUCCCACUGGGCUAGAGAGCUUUGUUAAGUAUAACAAUAAAAUACACAAAGAAAAAAAAAAAAACACAACAAUUUUCAGAUCAGGAAAUGUUAAAUGUUUUCAACAAAUGGUUAUCAGGAAAUGUUAUUCCAUAAUCAAAACUUUUCCUGUUUGAUGAUUAUGCCAGGGGGAAAAAUCAUGUGAUGCCACUUAUAAAGUCUUAUAAAAAAGCAUUUUUAUGAUGGGAUAUAUUUAUUUGAAAAAAUCCAUUAUAAGUACCAUGAGAUAAAUUAGAAUUGCCCAGAAUCUUACCUUAAAAAAAAAGUUUUUUAUUCACAUUUAAAAUUUUUUAUUUUUUGCGUUUUAGGGCUGCACCCACAGCACCUGAAGGUUCCCAGGCUAGGGGUUGAUUCGGAGCUACAGCUGCUGUCCUACACCACAGCCACAGCCACAGCCACACCAGAUCCUUAACCCACUAAGUGGAGGCCAGGGAUUGAACCUGCGUCCUCAUGAAUACUAGUUGGAUUCGUUUCUGCUGAGCCACAUGGAAACUCCUAUUAUUCACAUUUAAAUCUAAAUUUAAAUGCUUCUCCAUUUUACCUUCCUCUGUUGCACGAGUUUUACAGUUUUCAUAUUGAUUUUUGUAUUUGAUUUUGUAACUGGCCACAUUACUAAACUCUAGAAUUUCUAAAAGUUUUUCAGUUUAUGUUCUUGGGUUUUUAAGGUAAAUUUCAGUCAUCCCAAAAGUAAAAGCAACUAAGGUGGUGUUUGACCAAGAGAUUCAGGAAAACUCAAAUUCUGCUGCUUGACCUGCUUUCCUCUAAUGUCCCCAAGAAAAGUACACACACACACACACACACACACACACACACACACACACACACAGAGCAAGGCAAGUGAUUAUUAUUAUUGUUUGAUGACUUGCCCUGUGCUCUAAUGAACUCAAGCAGCUUAAGCUACAUCAUUAAAUUAUAUAUGCCUCUGUGACAGAACCAAAAGAGGCUAUAAGACUAGUCCUCGGAGUUCCCAUCAUGGCGCAAUGGAAACGAAUCUGACUAGGAACCAUGAGGUUGCAGGUUCAAUCCCUGGCCUCGCUCAGUGGGUUAAUGAUCUGGCAUCGCCAUGACCUGUGGUGUAGAUCUGCAGAUGCGGCUCAGAUCUGGUGUUGCUGUGGCAUAGGCCAGCAGCUGCAGCUCUGAUUGGACCCCUCGCCUGGGAACGUCUGUAUGCCUCAGGUGCAGCCCUAAAAAGAUUAAAAA
rnacentral:lncRNA from 1 species